GAUCUUACAAAGAGAUUGGGAGACAGCCUUGAGGGAUACAAGAAACAGUGCCAAGCAGGCACAUUACUGAAUCCCUGCAAGGCAUCCCGAGGUGUGUUUAUGCCCCAGGCUUGCUGGCCACAGUCCAUUCCAUUUACAGAAGCUGAAUUAAACAAUAACUACCGCAUUGCAAAAAGAAGAAGGAAAAAAAAAAAGGUGAGCGUCAAAGGAGAUGCCUGAGAGCUUUGUUAGGGCCAAGAAAAACCCUGUUGCAGUUGUCAGAGCUUGUUGAUGUUGCAGAGAACGGCACUUUUUUUUUUUUUCUGCUGGAUUUUGUGGUUCUGCCUUAGGAAAGAAAGUAAAAUAGAACGGAAGAACAAAGUCCUACUCUAUAAAUCAGCAGCUGCUCCUUGCCAGAUCAAAGGAGUGACAUUUUUGCUCCUGGACUACUUGUCCACUUUAGGUGCUUGACAGACAGCUAACAGCUGGCCUGUUACACAGCAUAGGAGAGUUGGGCUACAUCUUUUUCAGAGUAGAUGACAAGCUAAUCAGUGAUAUCCAUAGCACAGGACAUGUGAGUGCACCUUGAUCUCUUCAGACAUAUCCAGUACAUAAUUGCUAAACACCUUUAUGCAUUUUUGGCAAGUUGCUACUUAGGUAGUUUCCACUGAAAAGUAAGGAGGAGAAUUAAUACCUUAAUCUAAUUUGAUCAGGGGAGCUAAACAGAUGUUAAAUUUGUUGACAACUCUCCUUUUCAGGUCAAUUUAGAAUGGGCUAAAAAAUGUCACCAUGAAACAGUUAAAAAUCUGCGUAAGUCACUUUAAUGUGGCAUUAUUAAACUUUACUUUCUUUUGAAAAAGUUACCUAAAAUUAGGCUUCUCAAGUCCUACGUCAGAAGCUGGAUAAGCUGAUUGUGUUUUCAAAACUGCAGGAUCCUCAUUAGUUCUGAAAGUCUUGUCCUCUGAUAAAUUAUAUGAUAAAUUAACACAUCUUUAAGUUCAUGAGUAACUUAAGAUUUUAUAGGAGGUCUGGUAUCUGCCUUUAACAUGGAUGUCUGAGUGCCAGCAAAUCAAAGUGCAUGCCAAAUUAGCUAAAACUGCAUUUAGCAUCUCCGCAAGAUAUAUGUAUACAAACCUGGAAUUUUAAUGUCAGUAGUAAAAAUCUCCAAGUAAUUCAGUUUCUAGUUGAUUCCCAUUUGCAAUAAAUCAAGUACAGCAUGAGGUUAUAUACUACAACUUAUGUCUAUUGACUUUGCAUUUUUUAUCUUUAAGAUAUGAAUAGCUAAGGAAGUAUGUCUGUUUGUCUCCUCCCUUCUUUCAAGAAUCUUUAAAAGAUCAUUUUUACGGUGCAUGAUAAAUAACUGCGUAUGAAUGGCAUUCUUAAAGAGUAACAGGCAUUGCUUAAGAAAUCAUGACCUGCUGGGAUGUUUUGUUAUGUGGCUUCAGGUGUGAUUACAUUCACUGAAUAGUGUUUAUUAUCAGCUGGAAUUCCAAGGGGAAUAAAGAAUGAUACUUUUCCACCAAAGUUAAGGGGUUUUGAAAGCUUGUAAAGAAAUCUGUGCCUAUCCUUUUGUGUGUGUGCGUGCCUGUAGCAGGAAUCCCUCAUUAAGCUUCAUGCUAACAGAUUUAUUCUUGCAACUGGCUCUCACUCCCCGCGGGUUUCAUGGUGUAUUUGCCGCCCAAGGCAGCGCGAGCCCCUAUACGUUUCCACCAUGUAAAAAACCCAGCUCGGUCAUAGAACUAACUCCCGUUUUGGGUACAAAACCCGAGGCAGAAGCAGGGGGACACCCAGAGAAAACCACCACAUCCCUGAGGUGCGCACACCCAUCCCGGGGGAACCACUGCUCUCAGGCAGCCAGAGAAGGGCCUGUCACUGCUGCCGCCCCAGGCUGCCCCAAACCGCCCCAGACCGCCCCAGGCUGCCCCGCUGGCACCUGCCCAUGCCCCGCCCCCCGGGAGCAUGCCCCACCCUGCCCAUUGGGCACCUGCCCAGGCCCCGCCCCUGCCGGGCCCAGGCCCCGCCCCCAGCACCCCGGAAGCAGUGCUGCGCCUCCACUUCCUGGCCCAGCGCUGCAGCAAUGGCGGGAGGGCUUCCCCUGGGCCGGUGGCGGCAGGCCCGUGGGUCAGGCUGGCUUGCAGCUGGGAGUAGUGUCUGCUCUUUUACCGAGAUUGAUAAAUACUGACCCCGAGCACAAACGGGCACUGCGUAUGGCGCUGGUGGCUCUGAGGCGAUGGCAGAGGGGGCAGUAGCCUGCAGGCCGCGAGGGACGCAGGAGGGCCAUGGCCUCCCAGCAUCGGAAAGCAGUCAGGAGAGGUGGCAGCAAGGGACGUGAAAAUCCCCAGCAAGUCCUGUCAUCUCUCAGGACUCACUCCUCCGUCUGUCUUCUGUUUUAUGAAAAAGGUUGCGUUGUCUUGCCACCAGACCCCAAGGCAAGAUACCAAUAUGGUCCAUGUGUACAAACACCUGACGCAGGGAAUAAACAAGUGUAACUCCACGUCGUUUGCAGUUUCAGCGUACGUGCUACCCUGUGAAACACAUCAGAUUCUUGGCAGAAGCCAAAUCAUUUUCCUGUGCUUUAAAAAGGUAACCUGGUAACGAAGAGUUACAUGUUUAAAGAUACGUAUUUUCUCGAAGGUGAACAGAUGACAGCAUUGCCAAUUCUCAUGAUUUUAUCACAAGGCUCAAGUUAUUUCAUGUUUAACUUAAAGUCCCAGCUCCAGGAGACAAUGAUUAUGUGAAAAUCUUUUCGAGUAACUUUCUAGAUUUUGUGACUGAGGAGCUUAAAAAAAUGUGACAUUACAACUCAAAAACC